AUUGAACGCUGGCGGCAGGCCUAACACAUGCAAGUCGAACGAGUGGCGGACGGGUGAGUAAUGUCUGGGAAACUGCCUGAUGGAGGGGGCUAACUACUGGAAACGGUAGCUAAUACCGCAUACCAUCAGAUGUGCCCAGAGGGGAGUAGCUAGUUGGGGGGGUAACGGCUCACCAAGGGGACGAACCCUAGCUGGUCUGAGAGGAUGACCAGCACCGUUGGAACUGAGACACGGUCCAGCCUCCUACGGGAGGCAGCGGUGGGGAAUCUUGCACAAUGGGCGCAAGCCUGAUGGAGCCAUGCCGCGUGUAUGAAGAAGUCCUUCGGGUUGUAAAGUACUUUCAGCGGGGAGGCGUUACCCGACGAAGAAGCACCGGCUAACUCCGUGCCAGCAGCCGCGGUAAUUC
rnacentral:rRNA from 1 species